AGUGAACGCUGGCGGUAGACCUAACACAUGCAAGUCGAACGGCAGCACAGUAAGAGCUUGCUCUUACGGGUGGCGAGUGGCGGACGGGUGAGGAAUACAUCGGAAUCUACUUUUUCGUGGGGGAUAACGUAGGGAAACUUACGCUAAUACCGCAUACGACCUACGGGUGAAAGCAGGGGAUCUUCGGACCUUGCGCGAUUGAAUGAGCCGAUGUCGGAUUAGCUAGUUGGCGGGGUAAAGGCCCACCAAGGCGACGAUCCGUAGCUGGUCUGAGAGGAUGAUCAGCCACACUGGAACUGAGACACGGUCCAGACUCCUACGGGAGGCAGCAGUGGGGAAUAUUGGACAAUGGGCGCAAGCCUGAUCCGGCCAUACCGCGUGGGUGAAGAAGGCCUUCGGGUUGUAAAGCCCUUUUGUUGGGAAAGAAAAGCAGCAGGUUAAUACCCCGCUGUUCUGACGGUACCCAAAGAAUAAGCACCGGCUAACUUCGUG
rnacentral:rRNA from 1 species